rnacentral:rRNA from 1 species
GAUGAACGCUGGCGGCGUGCCUAAUACAUGCAAGUCGAGCGAACAGACGAGGAGCUUGCUCCUCUGACGUUAGCGGCGGACGGGUGAGUAACACGUGGAUAACCUACCUAUAAGACUGGGAUAACUUCGGGAAACCGGAGCUAAUACCGGAUAAUAUAUUGAACCGCAUGGUUCAAUAGUGAAAGACGGUUUUGCUGUCACUUAUAGAUGGAUCCGCGCCGCAUUAGCUAGUUGGUAAGGUAACGGCUUACCAAGGCAACGAUGCGUAGCCGACCUGAGAGGGGGAUAGGCGACACUGGAGGGGAGACGGGCACACGAGUACUGCGACACGGACCAGACGCGAACGGGAGGCAACAGUCGAAAGUAUGACGCAGCGGGCGCGAGCGAGAUGCGGCGGCCCUGCGUGCGGGAUGACGUGUUACGGGUUGUGAACCGCUUUCGCCUGAAAUGAGGCGUGAGUGACGGUAACGGGUAAGAAAGCACCGGCUAACUACGUG